rnacentral:rRNA from 1 species
UUUGGAAUUUUGGACAAUGGGCGAAAGCCUGAUCCAGCGACGCCGCGUGGACGAUGAAGGUCUUCGGAUCGUAAAGUCCUUUUGCUCGGGAACAAUAUUUUGAGCGUACCGAGAGAAUAAGAGGUUGCUAACUCUGUGCCAGCAGCAGCGGUAAUACAGAGACCUCAAGCGUUAUCCGGAAUCAUUGGGCGUAAAGCGUACCGAUAGGUGGUUUUACAAGUCAGAAGUGAAAUCUUCAAGCUCAACUUGGAGUCUGUCUUUUGAAACUGUAAAACUAGAGGGGCAAAGAGGAAGCUGGAACGAACGGUGUAGUAGUGAAAUGCGUUGAUAUCGUUCGGAACACCAAUAGCGUAGGCAGGCUUCUGGGUGCCACCUGACACUGCUAGGACGAAAGCGUGGGGAGCGAAUGGG